rnacentral:lncRNA from 1 species
ACUGAACUGAACUGAACCCUAAACCCUAAAAACUAAACCCUAAACUCUAAAACCUAAACCCUAAACCCUAAACUCAAUCUAAACCCUAAACCCAACCUAAACCUAAACCCUAGUUGUGAAUUGUUACGAUUGUGAAUUCACAACUGAACUGAACUGAAACACUAAACCUUAAACCUAAACCCUAGUUGUGAAUUCACAACUGAACUGAACUGAAACUGAAACUGAACUGAACCCUAAACCCUAAAAACUAAACCCUAAACCCUAAACCCUAAACCCUAAACCCAAUCUAAACCCUAAACCCUAAACAGUCGAAUUCACAACAAGAAUUUUUUGGUUGUGUAUUUACAACCAAAAUUUAAUACAUAGCAAGAAUUUUUUGGUUGGGAACUCACAACCAGUAAAAUUCACAAUCAGAAUUUAAUUCACAACUAUAAUUUAUUUUGGUUGUGAAUUCAAGUAGUUGUGAAUUUGAGUUUUUAAAGUUUGAAUUCACAAUUAAAACUGUAAUUUAUUUUGAUUGUGAAUUUAUAGAUUUGGUUGUAAAUUCAAGAAUAUUAAGUUGUGAAUUCAUCGAACAUUAAGUUGUGAAUUCAACAACAUAGUUGUGAAUUUAAGAACAUUAAUAAAAUAAUUAUACGGCUAAAUCAAAUUGAUGUACAACACCAAAAUACAACAACUCAAUCUACCAUCAAAAUACAUNUUGAAUUCACAAUUAAAACUGUAAUUUACAACUGAAACAUUAAAUUCUGAACUGAACUGAAACCCUAAACCCUAAACCCUAAACCUAAACCUAAACCCUAGUUGUGAAUUCACAACUGAACUGAAACUGAAACUGAACUGAACUGAACCUGAACCUAAAACUAAACCCUAAACUCUAAAACCUAAACCCUAAACCCUAAACCCAAUCUAAACCCUAAACCUAAACCCUAGUUGUGAAUUGUUACGAUUGUGAAUUCACAACUGAACUGAAACACUAAACUCUAAACCUAAACCCUAGUUGUGAAUUCACAACUGAACUGAAACUGAAACUGAAACUGAACUGAACCUGAACCCUAAACCCUAAACUAAACCCUAAACCCUAAACCCAAUCUAAACCCUAAACCCUAGUUGUGAAUUGUUACGAUUGUGAAUUCACAACUGAACUGAACUGAAACACUAAACCCUAAACCUAAACCCUAGUUGUGAAUUCACAACUGAACUGAAACUGAACUGAACCCUAAACCCUAAAAACUAAACCCUAAACCCUAAACCCUAAAACCUAAACCCUAAACCCAAUCUAAACCCUAAACCCUAAACCCUA